rnacentral:rRNA from 1 species
CACGUAGGGGGCAAGCGUUGUCCGGAUUUAUUGGGCGUAAAGAGCUCGUAGGCGGUUUCGUAAGUCGGGUGUGAAAACUCUAGGCUCAACCUAGAGACGCCACCCGAUACUGCGAUGACUAGAGUCCGGUAGGGGAGUGUGGAAUUCCUGGUGUAGCGGUGAAAUGCGCAGAUAUCAGGAGGAACACCGGUGGCGAAGGCGGCUUUCUGGGGCUGUUCUGACGCUGAGGAGCGAAAGCUGGGGGAGCGAACAGG